GGGCCCCCUUCUUUCAGCUUUCUGCUAACAUUGUCAGCAACGCCUCCAGCAGAGAUUCCCUUAAGUGACAAAUACUCCGGGUUUUCCACCAUCCUUCAGUGUGAAUUAAUUUUUAAUCAGUUUGCUUUCUCCAGAGAAAUUUUAAAAUAAUAGAAGAAAUAGAAACUUUGAAUGUAUAAAAGAAAAAGAUCAAGUUGUCAUGUUAGAACAGAGGGAACUUUAGGAGAAAGCAGCCUAAGUAAGGCAUUUGUAAGUCAGAGGGCAACAUGAAGACGCAGGCCUUCUAGGGCAAGGAGAGGACACAAGGACUAUGGGUGAGAGUAAAGGCAACAUCAUCUGCUUCAUACUUUUUCCUAGGCUUGGCACUGCCUUUUCCUUUCCCAGGCCAAUGGCAACUGCCAUUUGAGUCCACUGAGGGAUCAGCCAACCUCUUCUCUAUGGCUAACCUUAUUUGGAGUGAGAAAUCCAGGGGACAGAGCUGACUGAAUGAUGAGUCUGAAGGCAUUUGCAGGAUGAGCCUGAACUGGUUGUGCAGAACAAACAAGGCAUUCAUGGGAAUUGCUGUAUUCCUUCUGUAGCCCUCCCUCUGGGCACUAAGAAGGUCUAUGAAUUAAAUGGGUAUCUAAAAUUCUGAUUUAUUCCUACAUUUUUUGUUUUCUAAUUUGACCCUGAAAUAUAUGUGUUUUAGAUUUACACUUUUUAUUUUCCUUUUUUUUAUUUUGAGACGGAGUCUGGCUCUGUCACCCAGGCUGGAGUGCAGUGGCCGGAUCUCAGCUCACUGCAAGCUCCGCCUCCCGGGUUUACGCCAUUCUCCUGCCUCAGCCUCCCGAGUAGCUGGGACUACAGGCGCCCACCACCUCGCCCGGCUAAUUUUUUUGUAUUUUUAGUAGAGCAGGGUUUCACCGUGUUAGCCAGGAUGCUCCUGAGCUCGUGAUCCGCCCACCUCGGCCUCCCAAAGUGCUGGGAUUACAGGCGUAAGCCGCCGCACUUGGCCUUAUUUUCCAUUUAAAGUUUUCUUAUUUUAAUGUAAUCAUUUUGAACAUGUGUGAAAGUUGAUCAUACGAAUUGGAUCAGUCUUGAAAUACUCAACCAAAAGACAGUAGAGAAGCCAGGGGAAGAAAACUCAGGGCACAAAAUAUUGCUCUGAGAAUGGAGUUCUCUGCAAGCCUCGUUGAUGAAAUUGUCUACUGUAACCAGAAGCCAGUUGUAUCUAAUGGCUACUGAAACACCCACUGUGGUUUGCGCACUCCCUCACUCGCCAAUCAAAACGUGCCACCUCCCCAAGACCUUACUAGGGCCGACAAACUUUCUCAAAGAGCAACCAGUAUCACUUCCCUGUUUAUAAAACCUCUAACCUCGUCUUUGUUCUUUGAACGUGCUGAAAACCACCUGGUCUGCACGUAUGCCCUAAUUUGCAAUUCUUUCAUCUCAAAUGAGAAUUUAAUUUCAGGGAUUCAUUUCUAUGUUUUAUUUGACUUUCCCAUAUGUAGUAUUAUUAUUUCCUUAUAUGUGUAAGGUGAAAUUUAUGGUAUUUGAGGGUGCAAGAAAAUAUAUUUUUAAAGCUUUCAUUUCUCCCCCAGUGAAUGAUUUGGAAUCUUUAUGUAAAUGUACAGAUUUUUUUUUCUUAUUUUUAUAAGGAAGCAGCUGUCUAAAAUGCAGUGGGGUUUGUUUUGCACCGUUUUAAACAGAGCUUUAAUAUUGCUGUUAAAAGAAGUUCCUUUGCUUUUAAAGAAACGUGGCUGCUUAAAAUAAGCAGAAAUUGGAUGUGGAAAGUAAUAUUUACAGAUAUGGGGGGAUGUAAUAAAACAACAUUAACUUGGUUUCUUGUUUUUGCUGUAUUUAGAGAUUAAAUAAUUCUAAGAUGAUCACAUUGCAAAAUUGUGCUUAAGGCUGGCAUGGAAAUAGAAAUACUCAAUUAUGUCUUUGUUGUACUAAUGGGGAAUAUUUUGGACAAUGGGUCAUUGUCAAAUUGUCGGCAUCAUUAAUAUAUAUUGUAAUGUUGGGAAGAGAUCACUAUUUUGAAGCACAACUCUACAAAUGAGUAUCUAUGUAUACAUAUGUAUAAUACAUUUUGAUUGGGUAUUAAAAGUAUUAGAAGGUGGUUACAAUUGCAGAGUAUUCCAUGAAUAGUACACUGACACAGGGGUUUUACUUUGAGGAGCAGUGUAGUCAAGGGAAAACAUGCGUUAAAAAGAAAAGCAGGCAAUAUUGCAAUCUUGAUUCUGUCACUUACAGGAUAGAUAACGCCUGAACUUUAAUCACAAGAUGAUCCAACCAAAAAGGUGCUCUGUGCUUCACAGUGAAUCUUUUCCCAAUGCAAGAGUGUGCUCCCCCACAAGCAUAAGACUGAUCAUUUCAAAAAUGUAUUAGUUAUAUCAAAAGCCUUAAAAUUUAAUAUAGGUUGAACCAAAAUUUCCAUUCCAGUAACUUCUAUUGUAACCAUUAUUUUUGUGUAUGGCUUCAAGAAUGUUCAUUGGAUUUUUGUUUGUAAUAGCAAAAUAUUGGAUAAAUUUCA